AAAUGAAAAAUCAACACGUUUCAAUUUCCAUCCAUUCGAGUGUCAACUUAUCAUACCUCAUCACCAAGCUGACAGAGGAGGAGCCACUAGUGUCCGAGUAUCAUCACCAUUUUCCGGGAAAAAAAGAAAUAAAAGAAAAGAAACAAACACACAACUCAAAACAGAAAGUUAAAGAAACAAAUUAUUUAUUUGCUAAAUUUCGAUUCAAUCAAGUUACAGCAACAAUAAAAUGAAGUACAGUUAUGUAGUCUUAUCCUUGAAUCCGAGUUAUGGAGGUCGGUGGUUGAGCAGCAGCAGCUCCGAGUCGACUCGGCCUGAGUUCACUGGCGAGAACGCGUAUGAUAUCUUAGGAGUUUCGGAGAGCAGCUCAUUGGCUGAAAUCAAAGCUUCGUUUCAUAAAUUAGCGAAACAAACUCACCCUGACCUCGCUCAUCACUCAAACGCCUUUAAUUCUCACCGUUUCAUUCAAAUCCUCGCUGCUUAUGAGAUUCUUUCGGACGCUGAGAAGAGGGCGCACUAUGACAGUUAUUUGCUAUCUCAGAGAAAGAAAGUGAUAGUGCCGAGACAAGGUUCGACAUUGUACAGAUACGAAUCGCGAAUGACUAUGAAUAAAGAGAUGGAAGUUGUUGAGUGGUUAAAGUGGUAUAGAUUGGCUAUAAAUGAUAUAUUGUCUCAGAGAGAGGUGGUGGCUGGAACUGGUUAUUUUGAUGUACUUGAAGCUGAUUUUUAUUCAGCCAUACAUGCAGCUUAUUAUGGACCUGUAAUUGAGUCCAUGGAUCUUCUUCCUGAUCGGUUUGAGGCGGAGGAAAGGUCUGUCUACGAAACUCCUGAGGUUCUGCAUUUGGUUUCGGGUCGUCAUCUUUUUGGAAUGGUCUGCCUGGCCGACAAGAUUCCUAAAUUAUCUUCUGCCUCUAAUAAAAAAUUAAAAAAUGCCUUUGCAUCUUUUGGUUUGGGAGUCUGUAAAUCUGUUGAGGAUACAUGUGUCUUGAAAAAUUCCAAUGCGGUGGAUGAUGCUGGAAUUUCUCAGACGCAUCCAGGGAAUAGUGCAAGUGAUAAAUCAGAUGCAUAUGAAGAUUUAGAAUUGUAUGUUUCUGGAAGGGUGGUGGCUGUGGCAACUAGAGUUCCUCCUAAAAACCAGGAUGACAGAGCAGUACAGAAUGAAGAUGCACAAGAUCAGAUACAUGUUUUUCUUAACUCGGAUGAUGAUCUUGUGCAUGCUAGCGAAGGUUUUUACAAGGAAUCUCUUUUGACUGGUGCUGUUGGUGCAAGGAUUCCACUAGGAACUAUAAAGGGAAUGGGCAGCAGUCCUGAAGAGGGAUCAUGCUUUGUCUAUGAUGGCUGUGGUACCAAAACUCAUGUGAUAAUGAAACAUAGAACAUUGAUGGUGAAGCAUAUGCACUGGUAUGGAGUAGGAGAUAAAGUUUCUAUUGUUGAAUGCAGAUGCAGCAGAGCCCGAUUGCCACCAAGCAAAUUUUGGCUGUUUGAGCCUCGUUGUGACAUGCACGACAUAGGUGGUUGGUAUGUUGAAACAUUCGGUAGAGAUAAGAAAGGUCGGACAGUUCCAUCUCAAAGGUAUUGGGAUGGAUUUGAUGGAAAUGAACAAAAUGACAAUUUGGACUUUCAGACAAUGCAAUUGAGCUAUCUCCAUCACUGUGCUUUGUUGAGGGCAUGUUGACUGCUAGCUGAGUUGGCUGAUAUCACAAGGUGGUAAGAUAAGCUAUGCUUUUACUUCUCCUCAUUCAUGGGAAUUAAAGAAUGUGCUUGUUAUUAUAUUGGAUUUUCAUAUACUCUUAUGCUAUUUCUUUUAAUAUAUUCAUUGUGUGUAGCCUUUCACUUGUUAUGAGCUUAUAAGAUACUUUGACCCUUUUUUGGCCCAAGGAAAAUGCAUGAUUUUACAUCUAUUCUAGUAUCAAUUAAGGGGGUUUUUCCUUCAUGUUAUUCAACAAUUAUUUUUUGAUUGUUUUGUGGCCUGGCAUUUCACAGACUCCUGUUAAUAUUUUGUUCUUGUAAUUGCUUAAUAUCAGUAAUGUCACAAAAUACAUAAUUUCACUAGCUGUGGUGAUCUCUCUGAUUUAUUCUCUCCUAUCAAAGUUAUAUGCACACACAAGUGCCAGAAACAUUGAUAAUUAAGAAAAUGCAUGGAAUAGUAUGUUGUUGGCAGAAAUAAUUCAAAAUUGCUUUUUUUAAACAAUGCCUCCACUUAUAUGUUCCCUUCAAGGCCUUUGCUGCCCUCAACCUUUUCACCAAGAAUCUUAGUCCCGCCAUUGGUAUUGUGUUUAGGGCGCAAUUAGAAAAUUCUUGGAAGAUGAUUGACCCCCCUUGAUAUUGUGUUUUUCAUUCAUCAUACAACCUAGUUGACCAGUUAACUGUUAGGAAAUUGUCCUUUUCAUAUGUUUCCUAUCCUUUUAAUGCACUAGAAUUAAGAAUUCAUUGAAUUCUUCGUCCUAAAGAAUUCAUCAGCUUUUUCUGCAUUCUUGCAGACACAUGCCCCCCCACACCCAAAGACACACAGACACACUCAUAUGUAUAGAUGAUAGAGAGAGAGAUGCUAACCUCAGUUGGCUUUACCCACAUUUGUCCAUCAUACCAUCCACUCUCUUCAUAGGGGAUCACAGCUGACAGAAGUCUAUCACCAACAUAACUCCAUCCCUGUGGUAUGCACAUUAAAAUGUGGUAGUUUCCAAAGGAUUACUUUAGAAAAAUGUAUGAAUUGGUGGUCAGUUUCAUGCUAAAAUGGAAAUGACUGAAAAGGGUGCAAUUUGAAUGUUAAUUAGUUGGGAUCACACCUCUUGUAUCUCCUGCAUACUGCUGGUUUGAUUGUGCAUUCAUCUAGACUACGUGGUAGUUCUAUAUUAGGACAAUUAGAGAAAAGAUAUGUUACAAUAUUUUAGAAUAUUCUGCCAUGGUAUGUUUCUAAUAUUUUGAGUGGGUAAAAUAUUCUUGCUGCCAGAGUUUAGUGUUUGAAUAAACCAUUGCAGAACAGAUAUAUCAAACUGUGCUUCACAACUGUAACACUUUUCAACGCUGAUUUUUUGAUAAGAAACUACCAUGUUAAGAUAACCAUCUGUUCAUGCAGUUACUUUGUGUCUAGCCUUCUUCCUGAUGAAUUGAAUAGAAUAUGUGUGGUGGAGGCUUUAAGAAUAUGGCCUUUCCAGUUGAGGAGCACCUUUCAGAACCUACCUUUUUUGGCUAAUACAUUCAGCAAGGGAGUGACUACAAACAAACUGGUUUUCUGUUAGGCUUCUCAUAGUUAUUUCCCUAGUAGUUUCCACCAUCACAACCAGUCAAAUGAUUUGUUUUAUUCCUAUAUUUAUGAAAAGAAUUAUUACUCCAUGACAAUACUGAGAGUUCUUUGGAUUGUGAUUUUGAUGGGUGUGAUGUAACAAUGAUGAUGAUGAAAAGAAGAUGAAGAUGAAGAUGAAGAUGAUACCAGAUAUAUUCUUAAGAUGAUUAAUGACACAAGGAAUAGAGUUCCUGUUCCAGCAGCUAGCACAAAUCUUAAUGGUUCCUGCAAGAUUGGAACACUGAAAUAAAGCCUUAAUAUUCGCAAGUAAAAAUCUUUUCACAGAUCAAAUAUGUCUACCUUAUAUCUAUCCUUUCUGAGUUUCUGAGAUACGUGAUUCUCCUCAUCUCUAUCAUUCCAUGUCUAUACCCUUCUAUCAGGUGGUUCUGCAUCUAAAGCUAAUUCUAAUAAUAGUUAUAGGUAGAGGAUAGGAUAGGAAGAGAGCGCAAGUGCCCUAAAAAACCUUGCUUGGCUUCAAAAGCAAAAAGCGCAGGCAGAACUGCUGUUUCCUUGUGCUUCAGCAUUGUAAAUAACUUAAGAAAUUCUUUUUGGACUUUUCAUGUGAUAACUAGCUUCAACUCUGGUUCAGAUGUUUCAUCAAUAUUCUUUUUUUGGAAAGAUGGUAUGCAUUUUGAACUUACCCUGGAAGGAUUGAAAGUUGCAGCUGCAAUCGGAACUCCAAGAACUGUGAAGGUUACUAACCAGAGUCCACCAAGGCGAAGUAAAAAGGGUCCUGGACCAAGUUCACCCCAAGAAUACAGGGGUCCCUCUUUCAAAGACGAGUACUCGUUCACCUAUUAAAGAACUCGGACCACUAAAAGUGCAGCGUGGCGGCAAAAGACAAAUAGGCUGCUCAUGUGGUUCAAGACGAGGCAUCCUCCUCUACCUUGCACGCAAUUGUUUGUGUAGUUCUCGUGUUUCUACGGGCAAAGACAUCGAUAGAGUAUGCUUUCUAACUCCAGCCAACUCAGAUUUCCUUUGUACAACUAAAGUAGAAUCCCACAGAAACAACCUUCGGUAGAACAAAUGAUCAUUGUCCUCCCACCAUUAAAAUGGUAAAAAGUACAAGGAGCCCAAACUAUCGUUGUAAAAAGCUAGGACUUGAAGGUAGCAGUCAGUAUUGCGGGGUCCAUCUAGUGCCAGGUACCCGAAGCAGUUUACAAUGGUAAUAUGAUUGGGUGUUUGCUAGUUACUUGGCUGGCGCUCCUUGCUGCAAAUAAUUGGUGAUGUUAAUGUAUGAAAUAUAUUUAUUAAACCUUUAAUAAUUAUCGUAUUGUAAUGGUAUUUGAGGAGGUCAAUAAAGAAGAAAAAAAAGAUCACGACUAUAGGGAUAAUGA